GUGCUUGCUUUGGUAGCACAUACACUAACAGUGGAAUAAUACAGAGAAGAUUAGCACGGCCCCUGCACAAGGAUGACAUACAAAUUCAUGAAGUGUUCAGUAUUUUU